GACGAACGCUGGCGGCGUGCUUAACACAUGCAAGUCGAGCGGUAAGGCCCUUUCGGGGGUACACGAGCGGCGAACGGGUGAGUAACACGUGGGUGACCUGCCUCUAGCUCUGGGAUAAGCCUGGGAAGCUGGGUCUAAUACCGGAUAUGACCUCGCGGUGCAUGUUGCGGGGUGGAAAGCCUUGUGCGGCUAGGGAUGGGCCCGCGGCCUAUCAGCUUGUUGGUGGGGUGANGGCCUACCGAGGCGACGACGGGUAGCCGGCCUGAGAGGGCGACCGGCCACACUGGGACUGAGACACGGCCCAGACUCCUACGGGAGGCAGCAGGUGGGGAAUCUUGCGCAAUGGGCGAAAGCCUGACGCAGCGACGCCGCGUGAGGGAUGACGGCCU
rnacentral:rRNA from 1 species